GAUGAACGCUAGCGGCAGGCUUAAUACAUGCAAGUCGAGGGGCAGCACGGUUAGCAAUAACUGGUGGCGACCGGCGCACGGGUGCGUAACACGUAUACAAUCUACCUUAAACAGGGGAUAGCCUUUCGAAAGAGAGAUUAAUACCCCGUAAUAAAUUGAACGGCAUCGUUUGAUUUUGAAAGCUCCGGCGGUUUGAGAUGAGUAUGCGUCUGAUUAGCUAGUUGGUGAGGUAACGGCUCACCAAGGCGACGAUCAGUAGGGGAUCUGAGAGGACUAACCCCCACACUGGUACUGAGACACGGACCAGACUCCUACGGGAGGCAGCAGUAAGGAAUAUUGGUCAAUGGAGGCAACUCUGAACCAGCCAUGCCGCGUGCAGGAUGACGGCCCUAUGGGUUGUAAACUGCUUUUAUACAAGAGAAAACCCUGGUACGUGUACCAGGUUGAUAGUAUUGUAAGAAUAAGCAUCGGCUAACUUCGUGCCAGCAGCCG
rnacentral:rRNA from 1 species